AGAUAAAAUCUAGAUAUUUUAGUAGAGUUAUAGAGAUGAUGGUAUAAUAAUCUACAACAUUUGUAAGCCAUCCUUGGAGGCGAUAAAUACCUCUUCACCCCUUCUUUCGUAAUUAAGUUGAGCAAGUGAAUAAAAAAGAAAGUGUUCUUCAUAAGUUCUCUAAGAGGGUUUCUCAUCUUAGUUUUUUCGAGUGUCUCGGGGAAUUACGGUCUUUGGCUAGUAUGCAGGGGAUUUGACUUUUGGUUUCCUAAUUAGUUGAUUCGAGCGAAUACUCAUGUAACAUUCUCAACCCAAAACGAUGGGUGUCAAUCAACACCAAGGGAGGGUGUCACUCGACACCAUCAACUUUAGGGCGCUCGGGUUAAGUUCCUUAACUCAAAGGAAAUGUUCAAAACCCUAUUAGAUGGAUGAUAAAAUCUUGUCCAUAAUUCUUCUUACCAUAUUUAUUAAUCCAUCAUUAUCUCUUAAAUGUGUUUCUUAUGCUUUUGUACAGCUUUUAGCCACAUGUUUUGAAUUAUAUUUAGCAAAAAUGGAAGCAACUAAAGAGGUGGCCGCGUAGCUAUGGUAGUUUGCAGACCAUCCUUCACUACUUCCAUACGUACUUCACAAUACUGAAAUUUCUGUUCAUUUUCAUAACCAUGAUUAAAGGUAAACAGACUACCUAUUAAGAAAAUCUUAUGUCAAAAGAUGAAUGAGAGAGUAUUUGUGGCA